rnacentral:rRNA from 1 species
AACGAACGCUGGCGGCAUGCCUAACACAUGCAAGUCGAACGAGACCUUCGGGUCUAGUGGCGCACGGGUGCGUAACACGUGGGAAUCUGCCCUUUGCUUCGGAAUAACAGUUGGAAAUGACUGCUAAUACCGGAUGAUGUCGAAAGACCAAAGAUUUAUCGGCAAAGGAUGAGCCCGCGUAGGAUUAGGUAGUUGGUGGGGUAAAGGCCUACCAAGCCGACGAUCCUUAGCUGGUCUGAGAGGAUGAUCAGCCACACUGGGACUGAGACACGGCCCAGACUCCUACGGGAAGCAGCAGUGGGGAAUAUUGGACAAUGGGCGAAAGCCUGAUCCAGCAAUGCCGCGUGAGUGAUGAAGGCCUUAGGGUUGUAAAGCUCUUUUACCAGGGAUGAUAAUGACAGUACCUGGAGAAUAAGCUCCGGCUAACUCCGUG